rnacentral:misc_RNA from 1 species
CCGAGUUUACAACUCCCAAACCCCCUGUGAACAUACCUAUCGUUGCUUCGGCGGAUCCGCCCCGGCGCCCUCGGGCCCGGAUCAGGCGCCCGCCGGAGACCCCAAACUCUUGUAUUUCUUUAGUAUCUUCUGAGUAAACAAGCAAAUAAAUU